rnacentral:rRNA from 1 species
GAUGAACGCUGGCGGCGUGCCUAAUACAUGCAAGUCGAGCGAACGGACGAGAAGCUUGCUUUUCUGAUGUUAGCGGCGGACGGGUGAGUAACACGUGGAUAACCUACCUAUAAGACUGGGAUAACUUCGGGAAACCGGAGCUAAUACCGGAUAAUAUUUUGAACCGCAUGGUUCAAAAGUGAAAGACGGUCUUGCUGUCACUUAUAGAUGGAUCCGCGCUGCAUUAGCUAGUUGGUAAGGUAACGGCUUACCAAGGCAACGAUGCAUAGCCGACCUGAGAGGAUGAUCGGCCACACUGGAACUGAGACACGGUCCAGACUCCUACGGGAGGCAGCAGUAGGGAAUCUUCCGCAAUGGGCGAAAGCUUGACGGAGCAACGCCGCGUGAGUGAUGAAGGUCUUCGGAUCGUAAAACUCUGUUAUUUGGGAAGAACAUAUGUGUAAGUAACUGUGCACAUCUUGACGGUACCUAAUCAGAAAGCCACGGCUAACUACGUG